GGUAACACGUGGACAAUCUGCCCCCCGGCCCGGGAUAGCCCAGGGAAACCUGGAUUAAUACCGGAUGAGACGGGACCCGCGAUGGCGGGACCCGGGAAAGGCGCUGCGGCGCCGCCGGGGGAUGAGUCUGCGUCCCAUUAGCUAGACGGCGGGGUAACGGCCCACCGUGGCGACGAUGGGUAGCCGGCCUGAGAGGGUGGACGGCCACAUUGGAACUGAGACACGGUCCAGACUCCUACGGGAGGCAGCAGCUAAGAAUCUUCCGCAAUGGGCGAAAGCCUGACGGAGCCGACGCCGCGUGAACGAAGAAGGCCGUGAGGUUGUAAAGUUCUUUUCGGGAGGGGGAACAACCGUGGCAGGGAAUGGCCGCGGGAUGACGUGAAUCCCGGAAUAAGCCCCGGCUAACUACGUGCCAGCCGCCGC
rnacentral:rRNA from 1 species